rnacentral:rRNA from 1 species
GACGAACGCUGGCGGCGUGCUUAACACAUGCAAGUCGUACGGUAAGGCCCUUUCGGGGGUACACGAGUGGCGAACGGGUGAGUAACACGUGAGUAACCUGCCCACAACUUUGGGAUAACGCUAGGAAACUGGUGCUAAUACUGGAUAUGUGCUCCUGCUGCAUGGUGGGGGUUGGAAAGAUCCGGCGGUUGUGGAUGGACUCGCGGCCUAUCAGCUUGUUGGUGGGGUAGUGGCCUACCAAGGCGGCGACGGGUAGCCGGCCUGAGAGGGUGACCGGCCACAUUGGGACUGAGAUACGGCCCAGACUCCUACGGGAGGCAGCAGUGGGGAAUAUUGCACAAUGGGCGCAAGCCUGAUGCAGCAACGCCGCGUGCGGGAUGACGGCCUUCGGGUUGUAAACCGCUUUCAGCAGGGACGAAGCUUUUUGUGACGGUACCUGCAGAAGAAGCACCGGCUAACUACGUG